UGCUGGAAACCUCUGCUUUCCCUCUUUCUACCUGAGAUAGUCCAGGCUCUCAAUGUUGCUAAUCCUCAGGGUUGGCAUUGUAGCUGUGUGACCUGCGUGUUCGCACUUGGCUGAGAGAUCUGCUGUCCCAGUUGUGAAUUUUUAGGUUGACAGCAACGUAGAGAGGAAGGUCCAGAGGUCUCCCAUAUCCUGCCUGCCCCUCCUGUGCACAGCCUCCCCCUGACCGGUAUCCCACACCACGAGGUUUAGGAAAAGCUUCCUAAAGCCUUCCUGCCCCGGCAUCUUUUCCCACUCCCAUGUUCUCUGAGCUGCCCUGACCGUGGCCAGCGGCCGUUUCGUCUGUAAGGUGUGACUACUGCGGAAGCCCGCCGGAAGCGCAGUACGAAGCCCACAGACUGCACUGAGACUGUACGAAGACUCCAUCCACCCCGGCUCCACACCGUGGCCCCCAUCAGAGUCUGGGAGUGUGGUCGCGCAGGGCCCUGCAGAGGCUGUCAGCGGUGUGUGCUGAGACCAACCCCAGGGACACCUCCUUCCAAACUCUACCAGCCUCUGAUAAAUGCACCCCAUGAAGACUAGAGCAGGUUUCUCCCCCUCUGCCCACCAUUGGGAAACCACAGCACCUGCAGUUCCUGUGAGCUGGCCAUGCCCUGCGUGCAGUCAGUUGCUUACUUCUUCGGUCACGACCUCGGCCUCUGUCCUGAGUCGCUUUGCUCUUCAGGAGGCCUCUGCAGCAAAGCCCACUUCAAACCCGCCUCAGGCUGAAGGCUCACUGUGUGACCCCCUGUUUGCUUCACA